AGGCUUCACGCCCCUUCGAUUUUGGUGACUCUGGAUAACUGUCAGUACGAUCGCACGGGCUAGUAUCGACUAACCUUCGCGAGUCCGCCCUAUCAACUGUCGACGGUCCGGUAAGUGCCAACCGUGGUGGCAGCGGGUAACGGGGAAUCAGGGUUCGAUUCCGGAGAGGGAGCAUGCGAAAUGGCUACCACAUCCAAGGAAGGCAGCAGGCGCGCAAAUUACCCACUCCCGGCACGGGGAGGUAGUGACGAAAAAUAACGACGCGGGACUCCGUCGAGGCCCCGCGAUCGGAAUGAGUACACUUCAAAUCCGUUAAGGAGGAUCGACCGGAGGGCAAGAAGAAGAAGAAGAAGAAGAAGAAGUAUGUACUGUUCUGGGAAAAGAAGCGCAAAUUAUAACGGUUAGCAUUGGAAAAGAAGUGACAUUUGGAGAUGUAUAAUCAGAA
rfam:Octopus bimaculoides Scaffold6107_contig_36, whole genome shotgun sequence.